GGGCCCGUAGCUCAGCUUGGCAGAGCGCCUGCUUUGCAAGCAGGAAGUCGUCGGUUCGAAUCCGAUCGGGUCCACCA
rnacentral:tRNA from 2 species